UGGGGAAUAUUGCACAAUGGGCGCAAGCCUGAUGCAGCCAUGCCGCGUGUAUGAAGAAGGCCUUCGGGUUGUAAAGUACUUUCAGUCGGGAGGAAGGUGUCAAGGUUAAUAACCUUGGCAAUUGACGUUACCGACAGAAGAAGCACCGGCUAACUCCGUGCCAGCAGCCGCGGUAAUACGGAGGGUGCAAGCGUUAAUCGGAAUUACUGGGCGUAAAGCGCACGCAGGCGGUUGAUUGAGUCAGAUGUGAAAUCCCCGGGCUUAACCCGGGAAUUGCAUCUGAUACUGGUCAGCUAGAGUCUUGUAGAGGGGGGUAGAAUUCCAUGUGUGGCGGUGAAAUGCGUAGAGAUGUGGAGGAAUACCGGUGGCGAAGGCGGCCCCCUGGACAAAGACUGACGCUCAGGUGCGAAAGCGUGGGGAGCAAACAGG
rnacentral:rRNA from 1 species